ACAGCCACAUCACGUGGAAACACUGGUUCCAUUACGAUCACGGAAGUUAAGCAACGUCGCGUCUGGUCAGUACCUAGAUGGGUGCCUGCUAGGGAAUCCCAGGUACU